AAUGAACGCUGGCGGCAUGCCUAACACAUGCAAGUCGAGCGAAAACACGGGGAGAUUGCGCUCCUGAGGUUGGCGCGGGACGGACGAGUAACACAUGGAUCGCAUACCUCUAAGACUGGGAUGAUAACGGGGGACAAGAUCUACUACCGGAUAAUAUAUCGAACGGCUUGGUGCAAUAGUGAAAGGCGGUUUUCGCGACUGUUAUAGCUGAAUCCGGGCCGCAUUAGCUAGUGGGUAAGGUAACGGCUUACCAAGGCUACGAUGCGUAGCCGACCUGAGAGGGUGAUCAGCCACACUGGAACUGAGACACGGUCCAGACUCCUACGGGAGGCAGCAGUAGGGAAUCUUCGGCAAUGGGCGAAAGCCUGAUGGAGCAACGCCGCGUGAGUGAUGAAGGUCUUCGGAUGGUAAAGCUCUGUUAUUAGGGAAGAACAAAAGCGGAAUUAACUAUGCACGUCUUGACGGUACCUAAAGAAUAAGCCACGGCUAACUACGUG
rnacentral:rRNA from 1 species